rnacentral:rRNA from 1 species
UACGUAGGGUGCGAGCGUUAAUCGGAAUUACUGGGCGUAAAGCGUGCGCAGGCGGUUUUGUAAGACAGAUGUGAAAUCCCCGGGCUUAACCUGGGAACUGCACUUGUGACUGCAAGACUAGAGUACGGCAGAGGGGGGUAGAAUUCCACGUGUAGCAGUGAAAUGCGUAGAUAUGUGGAGGAAUACCGGUGGCGAAGGCGGCCCCCUGGGAUAGAACUGACGCUCAGGCACGAAAGCGUGGGUAGCAAACAGG